rnacentral:tRNA from 1 species
GGUGGCUCAGUGGUAGAGUGCUUGCUUUGCAUGCGUGAGGCUCUGGGUUCGAUUCCCCAGUACCA